UACGAAGGGGGCUAGCGUUGCUCGGAAUCACUGGGCGUAAAGGGUGCGUAGGCGGGUCUUUAAGUCAGGGGUGAAAUCCUGGAGCUCAACUCCAGAACUGCCUUUGAUACUGAAGAUCUUGAGUCCGGGAGAGGUGAGUGGAACUCCGAGUGUAGAGGUGAAAUUCGUAGAUAUUCGGAAGAACACCAGUGGCGAAGGCGGCUCACUGGCCCGGUACUGACGCUGAGAUACGAAAGCGUGGGGAGCAAACAGG
rnacentral:rRNA from 1 species